UCUUCUUCUUCUUCUUCUUCUUCUUCUUCUUCUUCUUCUUCUUCUUCUUCUUCCUCUUCCUCCUCCUCCUCCUCUUCCUCCUCCUCUUCCUCUUCGUCGUCUUCUCCUUCUCCUCCUUCUUUUCCUUCUCUUCCUCCACCUCUUCCUUUCUUCUUCUUUUCCCUCUUCUUCCUCCUUCUCUUGUGCCUCCUCUUUUUGUUUUUCUUACUUCUCUCUUUGUCUCUAUCUCUAUGUUUCUGUUUCUUUGUCUCUGUCUCUCUCUCUGUGUCUCUGUCUGUCAGUCUCUGUCGGCCUGUCUGUCUUUCUCUCUGUCUCAGAUGUAGAUUGAUCUGUAUCAAUUGUACUAACCCUUACUAGACUCCUUAAUAAAGCUACUAUUUUUCAAUUUUAAGAAAAGACCUUGAAAUAAUACUUCAUUGUCUUCCUUUCUUCAUAUUUCCUUUGUUCUCUCUAAAUCUGUUCUUAUGACUUGUAAUUACUUAACUUUGAAUCUUCAGUCUAUUUACUUUUCUAUUUCUCUAUAUUGUUAUUUUAAGUCUAUAAUCUAAAAUACUUUUUUAGUUUCUCCUAUCUUUGACAUUGUUUUAAUUUCUGUAAGUUACUGUUUAAUUCCUAUGACAUCUUCACUUAUAUCAUAGUAGUUGAUCAUAAUUGUUCUUUAUUCCCAUCAUUAGGAAAAGACAUUGUAUAUUCCUGUUCUUUUCUAUUUUUUUCACCUGAGUUGAAGGUAUUAUUGAGAUAACAGUUGAGUCAUUUACCCUCCAGUUACUCCUCCCAGUUCUUUUCACUUUCUCUCCCACAUGUAUCUACUUCCUGUUUGUCUCUCAUUCAAAAAGGAAAGGCCUCUAAGAGAUAACAGCAAAAUUUAACAACAUAAAAUAUAAUAACAUAAAACACACAAGCAAAAACUGUCACAUCAAAGUUGAACAAGAUAAACCAACAAAACAAAAAGAGCCUCAAGAAGGCAGAAGAAUCAGAGAGCCUCUUGUUCACUUACCUCAGUUGAAUUAGAAUUGGUUCUUAUCCUGUGGGUAGUGACCCAUUUAGAGGUAGAAUGACCCUUUCUUAAAGUUUUCCUAAGACAAUCAGACAAUAUAGAUGUUUACAUUAUGAUUUAUAAAUAGCAAAAUUAUAGUUAUGAAAUAGAGGCAAAAAUAAUUUUAUGGUUUUGGGUCAUUACAACAUUAAGAACCAUAUUUGAGGGUUCUAGCCUUAGGAAGGUUGAAAACCACUGAAUUAUAAAGGGCCUUGUCUCCUUGUGUCCUCUACCCUUUUGAAUCUUUCACAUUUCUCACCUCAUCUUCUGUGGGUGGGAUUUAGUGGAGACAUCCCACUGAAAGCUGUGUUCCAAAUGCAUCUGUUUGUUAAAUGUCAUCCGUCAACUCUUACUGUUCUCUUUAUGAUGAUGUAAAGUAGAAUAAACAUCACUGGCAAAUUUUUGUUUAUGUUAAGUUGUGACAGAAUGUUCAUCUAACUUGAGUAAUCCUGUAGGUGAAUAUAUGUGGACUACUUGAUGAAUAAUCUGUCCAAGUACCUCCGUUUGGUUUUUACUUCUUGGGUAUAUUAGAUUUGCAGAGAGGUGUCUUUUAACUUCAUUCCUAAUGCCUUGAAAUCCUGAUCACUAUAUUUCAGCCACCAGAGUCAAGAACUUAUCACUGCAAAUUCUGCCCUGUGUGUGAGUGAAUAAAGCAAUUUUUGUCCCAUUUAUUCUGAAAAUUUGCGUUUAAUUAUAUCUCACAUUCUUCAUACUAGAAUAUACAUUUUCCUCUUUUAAAAAUAUGCACACCUGACAGACUGUGUUUGAAAUAGUGGGAACACCAUACUCUAUGGUUCCAGUGUCUGUUUUGACCAUCACAUUACUAUCUUCUCUCCCAAGGGCCAAGUCUACCAAGUGGAAUAUGCCUUUAAUGCUAUUAACCAGGCUGGUCUUAUACUUGUAGCUGUCAGAGGAAAAGACUGCUCAGGUUUUGUCACAUAGAUGAAAGUACAUGACAAAUUACUAGAUUCCAACACACUUGUUGAAGAUAACUGAAACCAGUGGUUGUAUAAUGAUGGGAGUAACAGCUGACAGACUCCAGGUACAAAUGGCACACUAUGAGGUAGUUAAUUGGAAAGACAAAGGUAACUAUGAGUUUCCUGUGGACAUGCUAUGUAAAAGAAUUGCUGAUAUUACUCAAGUCAACACACAGAAUAAUGAAAUGAGGCUGCUUCAUUGUUGUUUGAUUUUUUUUUACUGGUAUAAAUGAAAAAACAAGGCCCUCAAGUGUACUAGUGGAAUCCUAUAGGUGUUAAGCCAUGACAGCAGAAGUUAAAUGAAUAUAACCAACCAGCUUCCUUGAAAACAAUAAGUGAGGAAGAAAAUUGAUUGGAUAUUUGAAUAAACAUUUAGAUAAUGUAAUUACAUGUCUGCCUACUAUUCUGUCGAUUGGUUUCAAACUUUCAGAAAUAGAAAUUGGAAGAGUUAGAGUUGAAAAUACUCGAUUCAGGAUUCUUACAGAAGCAGAGAUUGGCACUCAUCUUGUUGUUCUAGCAGAGAGACUGAACAUUGUCAUCAGUUUACCAAAUCUGUGAUGCCACUUGCCUGUGUGUUUGAUAAAAACCAACAUCAUAGAGGCUCCACAGCUUAAAAUGGAACCUCUUCCACUCCUGCCACUGAGCUGCUUAGGACUCUGUAUAAAUAAAAACAGUCCUUUUGGAAAAAUAAAUAUGUACACUGUACUUAAAAAUAAACACAUGAAAUUUUUAUGUGCUACGUUAAAACCUAACUCCAAAAUUUAAAGAAACGCUACAAUUGUCCACAUCCAUUAAAAGACUCCUUGUUAUUUUAUGUUCUCUUUUGUACCACUAUUAAAUUGAUUCUCUAUUGCUAUUUCCUGUUUCUUUGGUGGUUUUCUGACAUAACUGUGUGAUCCCUGAUUUUUACUCAGCUCUCUUUGAUGAGUUCUGCAUCUGUGUAUGUAUGUAUGUAUCAUUUUCUGGGAUGAUCUUUGGCUUCCAACAUUUUGUUUCAUUUCUCCUCAUUGUUCUUGACAUAUUUAUAUUUAAACUUCCUCAUUACUAUAAUUUUUAUAUAGAACAAAAUUUUAUAUGCAUAAUGUACUCUUGUCUGAAUUCACUCUUGUCUGCAGCUAGAACUCUUUCUUUAAAAACCAUUAUUCAGAAAUCUAGUUUUUAACCAAAUAAAAUGUGGACGUACUGUGUUCAAGUUACAUUC
rnacentral:lncRNA from 1 species